ensembl:lncRNA
GGGAGCCAUUCCCUUCUCCAGGGAAGCCCUCUCAUUCUUGGAGGAGAAGACAAAGAGUGGAGGAUCAAGCAGGAGACUUUGGGGCUAGGCCCACAUCACCCUCACUUGUGGUCUAUUGACCAGAAGUUGUUGGUCCUGAGGUUCAAAAUAGAUAAGGAGUUUGGGCAAAGCCCACAGCUAUACAACAUAUAUGGAUUUCAAGAGCUAUGGACUAUGGUGGCCAAGAUACAGUAGCUGAGUUGAAGAAAGGGAAUAUAAUUGUAUUUAAUUUUGGGAAGACAAACUUGUCAUGAUUUCAUGGAGGAAGAAAGAGAAGCCCAGAGAGGUCAGGUGACUUAUCCAAGGUCACGUGGCUGCCAAGCCGCAGAGCCUGCCCAAGGAGUCCUCUCUUCUUGUUCCUGUUCUUCCCAUUAACCUGCCCACUGAGGGCAAUGAAGCCUCCCGUGUUCCACUUCACCCACCAUCCUGUUUUUCUCUAGCUUCAGGAGUCAAGGUUCUCAAUACUCAGCAUUUAAUUGGUUUUGAGUUCAGUUAAACUCCCUUGUUCAAAAUCUAAACCAGUUAAACAAAUUUCCCAGAAAACCAAAAUAAUCUUUAAGCAAAGUUCACUGCCAGGUCAUAUCUGUCUAAGUAAAAGUUGUUUUCAGGAUACA